CCAGGAAUCCUCUCUUUCGUUGGUUGACGACACCUCUUUGCUGAAUUGCGUGCCUUCACGAUAUCCACAACAGUACCAGAGAGAUACCAUUGUCACUCCUCUUGAAUUCGCAUCCUAUAUAUAUAUACAUAAUGGCUGUUUGAUUUAUAGCUUCUUAAGGCCACCACCAUCAAACCAGCAACGAAUAAUUAUCACCGCCCUUCAUCCACAUCCAGUAGUGGUUAUAUAGAAAGAGACCUCGCAGGGGCAAAAAUGAGUAGCCCGGCUAACGCCCACGAUUUGAGGAAUUUGAGCUCCAAGCUCUCCUUUCCUUCCACGUCCAAUGGUCGUUAUGCAGAAAGAGACCUCGUAGGGGCAAAAAUGAGUAGCCCGGCUAACGCCCACAAUUUGAGGAAUUUGAGCUCCAAGCUCUCAUUUCCUUCCACGUCCAAUGGUCGUUAUGCAGAAAGAGACCUCGUAGGGGCAAAAAUGAGUAGCCCGGCUAACGCCCACGAUUUGAGGAAUUUGAGCUCCAAGCUCUCCUUUUCUUCCACGUCCAGUAGUCGUUAUGCAGAAAGAGACCUCGUAGGGGCAAAAAUGAGUAGCCCGGCUAACGCCCACGAUUUGAGGAAUUUGAGCUCCAAGCUCUCCUUUCCUUCCACGUCCAGUAGUCGUUAUGCAGAAAGAGACCUCGUAGGGGCAAAAAUGAGUAGCCCGGCUAACGCCCACGAUUUGAGGAAUUUGAGCUCCAAGCUCUCCUUUCCUUCCACGUCCAGUAGUCGUUAUGCAGAAAGAGACCUCGUAGGGGCAAAAAUGAGUAGCCCGGCUAACGCCCACGAUUUGAGGAAUUUCUCCUUUCCUUCCACGUCCAAUGGUCGUUAUGCAGAAAGAGACCUCGUAGGGGCAUGAAUGAGUCGUCGUAAUCGUCUUGAUCAUGAAUAUUCAACAUCUACAAGCCAUCCUUUCCUGUCCAUCGCAGCUCAGCUAAUGCCCACAAUCCAUCCGCAUCUAAAAGCAACGUCAAUAAGGAAGCGAUGAGAAACCAGCUGAUUCUUCACCUUAAUUUCUUCCAACGGAUGGUGUUGGGACUGUGAGGUUGUUGAAAUUGUCAAAGUUCAUUCGAUUAAUAAUCCCUAUUUACUGGGACACGUAAAUUAAGUUUUAAACUGAUUUCCUUAUUUGUUUACCACGUUAAACAUGGGUUGUUAUGGUUUCUAUCUUAUCACUAUGUAAGGAGGCUUAUAUAAGCCAACAGUAUGCUUUGAAUUCAAUAAGAGAGUUUAUCAUAUAUUUGCUGUGAGUUGCUUUGUGCUUAGAAUUUCCGACGGAAGGCCCAAUCAUUGACAAAGAUGUUAAAGAAAUGACUAUAAAGAAAAUAUUAUUGAUUAUUUGAAUUUAAAUGUGUUAAGGAAAUAAUAAUGAAG
rnacentral:lncRNA from 1 species